GAAAAUCAAAUUUGCAAAAUUCAAAAUUAAAUUAAAACUAAUUAACAAAGAGGUGAAUUAAUGAGAAGAAACUAUCCUUAGGUUUUGAAUCCGUUUUGGCAUUAUUACCUAAUUUCUGACUCAUACUCUGGUUCACUAGAACUACAAGUUCCAAUGCAACCACAAAAAGAAAUAUGAUUCUAGGCUACCCUAACUAUAACCUAUCCUGUCAAACACUAUUGCUAUUGUCAGUGUUUGCCAAAAAUCACAU